rnacentral:rRNA from 1 species
GACGAACGCUGGCGGUGUGCCUAAUACAUGCAAGUCGAACGCAGUGGGGACGGGUGAGUAACACGUGGGUAACCUCCCAUCAGAGGGGAUAACACUUGGAAACAGGUGCUAAACCGAUACUGAUGGAUGGACCCGCGGUGCAUUAGCUAGUUGGUGAGGUAACGGCUCACCAAGGCCACGAUGCAUAGCCGGCCGGAGGGGGUGAUCGGCCACACGGGGACUGAGAGACGGCCCAGAGUCCGACGGGAGGCAGAAGGGGGGAAUCGUCGGCAAUGGACGAAAGGCUGACCGAGCAACGCCGCGGGAGGGAGGAGGGUUUGCGGAUCGUAAAACUCUGUUGUUAGAGAAGCGGUAUCUAACCAGAAAGCCACGGCUAACUACGUGCCAGCAGCCGCGGUAAUAC